rnacentral:lncRNA from 1 species
GAUACGGACAGGUAAUGAGGCCAGACAGAGACACAGAGACCAUGGUUUAAAAACCAAGAGCUUCCUUUGUUGAUCUAGAGAGAGCUCUUUACAGUACAUUAGAAUUUUAUAUAAUAACAACCGACAGUUCUGGUUCUAUACCUUAAUAUUAGGAGUUUCCAUAGAAGUUCAAAGUUUAAGUUUGUUUUUCAGAUGCUGAUUCAUGACGGAUCAGGAGAAACAGGUAAACCUUAUAUUGUCCUUGGGUGGGCAGAUGAUGCUGGAGGCACUCAGGAAAAGAAGAUGCACAGAAGCAGAGAACAGACUGUACAGUCAGCAAGGGCAAUGGUCUGUUGACAGCAAGCUGUUGGUUUCACUGCCAGAAAAGAAUGGAGACAAAAGCAGCGAUAGGCGAGAAAGGAUAAUCAAGAACAAAGAGAAAAUUUAGAAGCUACAGCUGGUUG